UAUACAGCUACAGCUGGGUCAGAGAGAAACAAGAGAGGGAGAUAGAUAGAGAGAGAGAGAGAGAGAGAGAGAGAGGGGAAGAGGAAGGAAAAUUGAAGGAGAGAAAGGCAAGAUGAGAAGUAAAGUUAAUACAUAGGAUGAAAUUAGACCCAAGCAGAAUAAUAGUACAUACAAAAUAGAAAAUAGAAAUAACAAUUAUUAAAAAAAAAAAACCCAUACAAACCAGGGAUAUAACAAUUAACAUUGACAUAAACAACAAAGAACAGGUGACUCAAUGUGGAUAAGAUUGUAAAAGCCUUUCUUUGUAUUGUCUC